UAAGAAGGGGGCUAGCGUUGCUCGGAAUUACUGGGCGUAAAGGGCGCGUAGGCGGUUUGGUCAGUCAGGCGUGAAAUUCCCGGGCUCAACCUGGGGGCUGCGCUUGAUACGGCCAGACUUGAGGAUGGAAGAGGCUCGCGGAAUUCCCAGUGUAGAGGUGAAAUUCGUAGAUAUUGGGAAGAACACCGGUGGCGAAGGCGGCGAGCUGGUCCAUUACUGACGCUGAGGCGCGACAGCGUGGGGAGCAAACAGG
rnacentral:rRNA from 1 species